CACUCAGGCGGGUGCUGCAGAGCAACACACGCGCACCCACGUAAAAGAUGUGCGACUCUCACUCUUCAUAGCUAUGCUUUAUAAGUAGUGUUAUCGGACGACUACGCAGGCUUUACUGGCAGAGGCGAACGAGGCUUGUCGGCUUCUUUCCCGGGUGCUUGUACCGUCCCCACCUCCCACCUCUCUUCAAGCGCACAGAAAGCAGAAAAGCAAAGUCGUCACCGCAGAGGACUCCUCCUUGACCUUGCUCUUCUCUCUGCUGCAUUAGACGGAUUAUCCUGCGUUAGAGGGGGGGCGGGGUGCCAGGAAGGUGCAGCGCACUUGCGCUGAUCCUUCUCGCUACUCGAAAAGAGGGCAGGCGAACAGAACAUCAUACACUGCUGUGAGGAUGGACAUCUCCGCACCUCUUUUCUCGGAUGGUCUGGUGACCCUACCGGCCGCCGAGCUACGUGAGUCACUGGAGAACAUACUCAACGCUAUCGGUGCCUCUGCGUACUCGUGCUCGGAGGAGAGCAGAGCCCUUGAGGUGCAACGUCAGCGGGUUCUUGCUCUUCUAUCCAAGCUGGACGCAGGAAACGCUCCCUGCGACUCGCCGGAUACGGCAGCGUCGCGACGAGGUACUCUUCUAUCCCCAGCUACCUCGGAGGCGCGCGAUAAGCAUACGGGGCCUUUGCACAUCUCCUCCAUCAGCAGCGAGGCUGCCGAUGUACGGAGUAACGCGGCAGGGAAUGAUAUGUCCGCGACGUUUGCCGAAGCAGGCGAUGCGCGCACCACAUUUGUGCUGCAUCCAGACCAUCGCUGCCUCCUGGCCAACCUCUUUUCGAAGUCGAGACGACGCGACGUGACGGUGCCUUCGAAUUCCUCGUCGCCUUGCGUUCUAUCCCUGCCCUUGAAGCCAACUGUGGAGAAGGGCGGGUUGGAUGGUCGAGAUGAAAAUGAUUCUGUUCCAUGUGCCACAGCCGCCGUGCUACAACAGAUGGGGCAGCUGUGCUGCUCGCCUGCGGUGCUGCUUUCCCUUUCCGAGGACGGGAGGGAGCUUGUCUGUGAGGGGCAUGACGUGCCAUCAAGCGUUCCGCGACGCUGCCGUGUAGAAGUGGAUACUCCUCAAUUACAGCAGUCGCGGUUCUGCGCCAUGUCAGCGCGAGUAAAUGCUCAACGCCGUCUGCGCUGGCACAGCGAAGCGACGGAUUCGCGUAGCUUCUGGAUCAACGUGUGGCCCUGCUAUGGUGGCUCAGCGGUAUCGCGCGCUCGGCAUCCGACGCGCGUCCUCGUUCGAGGGCGAUACCGGUACUUCGAAGACGUGCUGGAGACGGCGGCGAAGCUGACCGACUGCAAGCCCGCCUCACACGCCUUCUACACGCCUGACGGAUGCCCGAUUCGUCACCUUGAGGACCUGAUCGCGGAGCACCACUACCUCCUCUUUCCCUUCGGUGGCUUCUACCGUAAGCAAUCUGUGCCAACUGCGCUUCUGUGGCUCUUGUACACUGACGCACGCCACAUCGUGCAUCACUCGUAGUGGGACGAAUCACAGCGAGAAGCAGCGGCGACGAUGAGGAGGCGCACACAUUCUAGAGCGCUGGGUGGCCUCGAUGCAUGAAGAGCGCAGGCUAUGCGCACCUCUGUGUGUGUGUGGUGGAGGAAAGAGGAAGGGGAGGGUGCGGGUAAGUUUGACUUGCAAAGGCGGCUCCUUUUUUUUUUGCUUCUUCACGGCUUGUACACUUCCUCCUCUCUUUUGCUUUUGUGUAGGCCACCCGCCAUCCCGUCUCUCCCUUUUUGUGCCCCGGCUGACCAUCGUGUUUUCUGUACGGUACUCUCCUUUUCUGUG
rnacentral:misc_RNA from 1 species